rnacentral:ncRNA from 1 species
UAUCUUUGCAGCUAAUCGGGAAAAACCUGAUUAUACAUAAUAAUUAUUUAAAAUAAUAUUGGCAUG